rnacentral:ribozyme from 1 species
CGCAGAGUCUGCGCACCUGAGAGGUGCGUAUAAUGCCGCCUAUGGCGGUGGCAAGCCUGC